rnacentral:rRNA from 2 species
UACGGAGGGGGCUAGCGUUGUUCGGAAUUACUGGGCGUAAAGCGCGCGUAGGCGGCUUUGUAAGUUAGAGGUGAAAGCCCGGAGCUCAACUUCGGAAUUGCCUUUAAGACUGCAUCGCUUGAACACGGGAGAGGUGAGUGGAAUUCCGAGUGUAGAGGUGAAAUUCGUAGAUAUUCGGAAGAACACCAGUGGCGAAGGCGACUCACUGGACCGUUGUUGACGCUGAGGUGCGAAAGCGUGGGGAGCAAACAGG